ACGGGGAAGCUCAGCAAAACGUCAACCUGAGGGCACCGGCAGCCGGCACUGAGCCUGCGUGUAUCUCUCCGUAUCACGUGAUCACAACUGGGACACUCUCAAGCCAAUCAUCAGCAGGAUUAUCCCCUAGACUACCUUUCCCAGAAGUACCCUGCUCCAAGAUAUCUACCUCAGGAUUAUUCACUGUCCGGAAGCAGAGGCCACCCUGCAAAUGAACCAUAUCAAGGCUUCACAGGGACUCCUCCAGCAUCCUUAGCUAAUGCACGUUUGGAUUAUCAAAAUGAAUUUGCCAUUGAAACAGUGAAGAGCUUCUCAGAGAAACUCCUAAAGAGAGCUCAACGAUGCCAUGAUACUACAGUGAGACAAGUAGAACAGCUAGAGCCAGAGGAAUGCUUCAAUCAAUAUGCAUACAGUGCAAGACUAGCUGUUUGCAGAAUCUACAGAAUUGAUUUCAUUGUAAACAAUUAAAGAACAGUGACGUUACA